AGUCUGGUAGCUCAGCUGGAUAGAGCAACCGCUUCCAAGCAGCAGGUCAUGCCGGUCUGCCGGCGCGGUUCGAAUCACAUCCGGAUCACUA
rnacentral:tRNA from 1 species